rnacentral:rRNA from 1 species
AGUGUUUGAUCAUGGCUCAGAUUGAACGCUGGCGGCAUGCCUUACACAUGCAAGUCGAACGGUAACGCGGGGCAACCUGGCGACGAGUGGCGAACGGGUGAGUAAUAUAUCGGAACGUGCCCAACUGUGGGGGAUAACGUAGAGAAAUUUACGCUAAUACCGCAUACGAUCUAAGGAUGAAAGCGGGGGAUCGCAAGACCUCGCGCAGUUGGAGCGGCUGAUAUCAGAUUAGCUUGUUGGUGAGGUAAAAGCUCACCAAGGCGACGAUCUGUAGCUGGUUUGAGAGAACGACCAGCCACACUGGGACUGAGACACGGCCCAGACUCCUACGGGAGGCAGCAGUGGGGAAUUUUGGACAAUGGGCGAAAGCCUGAUCCAGCAAUGCCGCGUGCAGGAAGAAGGCCUUCGGGUUGUAAACUGCUUUUGUACGGAACGAAACGGUCUGCCCUAAUACGGCGGGCUAAUGACGGUACCGUAAGAAUAAGCACCGGCUAACUACGUGCCAGCAGCCGCGGUAAUACGUAGGGUGCGAGCGUUAAUCGGAAUUACUGGGCGUAAAGCGUGCGCAGGCGGUUAUGUAAGACAGUUGUGAAAUCCCCGGGCUCAACCUGGGAAUUGCAUCUGUGACUGCAUAGCUAGAGUACGGUAGAGGGGGA